CGCCAUGAGAUCAAAAGCAAUCUUACUAGAUUGGCAGUUUACGGCAGCAACGCGUUGCCACUUCGAAGAUGUCUGCAGGCAUA